AUUUUUGAGAGUUUGAUCCUGGCUCAGGAUUAACGCUGGCGGCGUGCCUUAGGCAUGCAAGUCGAAUGGUCCCGAUGCAAAUCGGGACAAUGGCAGACGGGUGAGUAAUGGUAGGGAAUCUACCCCAAAGUGAGGGAUAGCUCGCCGAAAGGCGGGGUAAUCCUGCAUGUAGUCCCGAUUUAUCGGGACAAAAGGACGUAACUGUUCGCUUUGGGAGGAGCCCUACUCCUAUCAGCUUGUUGGUAGGGUAAUGGCCUACCAAGGCUAUGACGGGUAGGGGGCGUGAGAGCGUGUACCCCCACAAUGACACUGCGACACGGGUCAUACACCUACGGGUGGCAGCAACCGGGAAUAAUCGGCAAUGGACGAAAGUCUGACCGUGCGACGCCGCGUGAGGGAUGAAGCCCUUCGGGGUGUAAACCUCUUUUAUUCCGCAAUAUAGCGGGAAGAAUAAGCGUCUACUAACUACGUGCCAGCAGUCGCGGUAAUACGUAGGACGCAAGCGUUAUCCGGAUUUAUUGGGCGUAAAGGGUCGCGUAGGCGGUUUGCCGCAUCUUGCCUUAAAUGGCGAGGCUAAACCUCGUCCCCGGCAAGAGAUGGGCAGACUUGGAGAUUUGGCGGGGUUUCUGGAACUUCCGGUGUAGCAGUGAAAUGCGUUGAUAUCGGAAGGAACACCGAGAGCGUA
rnacentral:ncRNA from 1 species